UCUCUGGUGGUCCAGUGGCUAAGACUCCACGCUCCCAACAUGGGGGGCCCAGGUUCAAUCCCUGGUCAGGGAA
rnacentral:tRNA from 1 species